rnacentral:misc_RNA from 1 species
UUAAAUUCAGGGGGUAGUCUUACUUGAGCUGAGAUCAAAGUUUCAAAAAAGAGUUGUGUAAGAAGGCUCCGAAGACCGGCUUUAAUGCCCAAGCCCCGACAUAGCGCUUGAUGCCCAGAGGACAAUUGCCACGCUAGUGGUUCAAGGACGCCAAUAUCCUUUACCUAUCUGAAUUUAAAGGGACCCAUCGCAUGCGCAAU